AUUGAACGCUGGCGGCAUGCCUUACACAUGCAAGUCGAACGGUAACAGGCCUUCGGGUGCUGACGAGUGGCGGACGGGUGAGUAAUGCAUCGGAACGUACCCAGAGGUGGGGGAUAACGCAGCGAAAGCUGUGCUAAUACCGCAUGUGAUCUGAUGCUGAAAGCGGGGGACCGAGCAGCAAUGUUUGGCCUCGCGCCUUUGAAGCGGCCGAUGUCGGAUUAGCUAGUUGGUGGGGUAAAGGCCUACCAAGGCGACGAUCCGUAGCUGGUCUGAGAGGACGGACCGCCCAACUGGGACCGAGGAACGGCCCAGACCCCGACGGGAGGCAAGAGGGGGGAAUUUUGGGACAAGGGCCGAAGGCUGAUCCAGGAAAGCCGGGGGGGGGAAGAAGGCCCUCGGGGUGGUAACCGCUUUUGGCAGGAAAGAAACGGUGGCCGCUAAUACCGGGGGCGAAUGACGGUACCUGAAGAAUAAGCAACGGCUAACUACGUG
rnacentral:rRNA from 1 species